UACGAGGGGGGCGAGCGUUGUUCGGAAUUAUUGGGCGUAAAGGGUGCGUAGGCGGUUUGGUAAGCCUUAUGUGAAAUCUACAGGCUCAACUUGUAGUCUGCAUGAGAAACUGCCGGGCUUGAGUAUGGGAGAGGUGAGUGGAAUUCCUGGUGUAGCGGUGAAAUGCGUAGAUAUCAGGAGGAACACCUGUGGCGAAAGCGGCUCACUGGACCAUAACUGACGCUGAUGCACGAAAGCUAGGGGAGCAAACAGG
rnacentral:rRNA from 1 species